rnacentral:rRNA from 1 species
GCUGGUGUCAAUAGCGAUGGGGCCACACCUGUUCCCAUUCCGAACACAGAAGUUAAGUCCGUCAGCGGCGAUGGUACUAUGAUGUAUUUCAUGGGAGAGUAGCACGAUGCCAGCU